GAUGAACGCUGGCGGCGUGCCUAAUACAUGCAAGUCGAGCGAACGGACGAGAAGCUUGCUUCUCUGAUGUUAGCGGCGGACGGGUGAGUAACACGUGGAUAACCUACCUAUAAGACUGGGAUAACUUCGGGAAACCGGAGCUAAUACCGGAUGAUAUUUUGAACCGCAUGGUUCAAAAGUGAAAGACGGUCUUGCUGUCACUUAUAGAUGGAUCCGCGCUGCAUUAGCUAGUUGGUAAGGUAACGGCUUACCAAGGCAACGAUGCAUAGCCGACCUGAGAGGGUGAUCGGCCACACAGGAACUGAGACACGGCCCAGACCCCUACGGGAGGCAGCAGUAGGGAAUCUCCCGCAAUGGGCGAAGGCCUGACGGAGCAACGCCGCGGGAGUGAUGAAGGUCUUCGGAUCGUAAAACUCUGUUAUUAGGGAAGAACAUAUGUGUAAGUAACUGUGCACAUCUUGACGGUACCUAAUCAGAAAGCCACGGCUAACUACGU
rnacentral:rRNA from 1 species